rnacentral:rRNA from 1 species
CAGCAGUGGGGAAUUUUGGACAAUGGGGGCAACCCUGAUCCAGCUAUGCCGCGUGAGUGAAGAAGGCCUUCGGGUUGUAAAGCUCUUUCGUGAGGGAAGAAACGGCCAUAGUGAAUAGCUGUGGUUACUGACGGUACCUCAAGAAGAAGCACCGGCUAACUACGUG